AAACUGCGAUAAGUAGUGUGAAUUGCAUUUAGUGAAUCAUCGAAUCUUUGAACGCACCUUGCACUCACUGGUAUUCCAUGGGGCAUGCCUGUUCGAGCGUCAUUUGUACCCUCAAGCUCUGCUUGGUGUUGGGUGUUUGUCCCGUCUCCGCGCGUGGACUCGCCCCAAAGUGAUUGGCAGCCGGCGUACUGGUCCCGGAGCGCAGCACAUGUCGCGCAAACGAGUGCCUUGGUACGGCGGCGUCCAUAAGCCCCUCUCUCACGCUCUUGACCUCGGAUCAGGUAGGGAUACCCGCUGAACUUAAGC
rnacentral:misc_RNA from 1 species